CUGGCCUCCGCCCUACCUCCCAGUAGGUACCAGUUAGUGAUCCAGCUCAGCUUACAGAAAAGAUCUCAGAUCUGAGUGGACUCCGCUAAUGCCUGCAGAGUUAGGGCCUCCUGGAAGGCAAGGGAAUGGCCAAUAAAUGGCAUGUGACACCCAGGGAACAGCUUCUCUAUCUAUCCCUAGGGCUCUGAGGCUGGCAGAAGGCUGCUGAGCCAAAUGCUCUGUGGCUAAAAGGAAUGGGGCGGAAACCCACAGAUCUGCCCCUGGUAGAGGGGACAUCAGGGAAUGUCUGUCUGAUUGUCAUGAGGUUUUAAGGGCAGAAAGAUCCCUGCCAGGUCAUCUAAACCCCUGGUUUAUCAGUGUGAAAACUGAGCCACAGAGAGGAACUGGCUUAAGUCUCUAGGCCAGCUCCCCUUUGCAGGCACCAGUGUGUCCCAGAUUGGCCAGAUCACAGGUAUUUUCUGGGGGCAUCUGUUUAAAAAUUGGAGGCCUAGGCCCAACUCCAGAUCUACAGAAUCAGACUCCAGGAGAGGGGCCUGGUGAUCUGCAUUUAAACAGGUGUCCCAGGUGGCCUGGGUGUGCUAGCAUGCCUGGGAAGCACUGUGUCUCCAUCUCAAAGUAUCCUCCUAGAAGUUCCCACUUGAAAGCUCAAGAGAAGACCUGGGGGUCCAUUGUCUCUGGAGAGGGAAGUGUCUGGGUCCAGAGCUAACAAAUGCCCACCUCAAGCAGAUGCUCCUGUUUGAGGGGUGGGAGGUAUCUCCCCAAGGGCAUCAGUCUGCUGCUAACAGAGAGGACUGGUGCUGUGUAGCUAUUGCUGCAUUUUAUCCUGCCAGGUGGGUGCACUGCACCCCUUUACAGAUGAGGAAACAGGUGAGUUGAAGAUGAAAGAAACUUGUCCAGACUCACCUGGCUGAUAGGUGGAAGAAUAGAGAUUUGAACCCAGGACUGUCUGUCCCUGAAACCCACACACUUUGACCACACGCCACACUUUAUCCUCUAUCACACUGAAUUUACAUGAGCAAAACUGUGUAGUGACUUCUCCAGCAAUGGAGGUGUCUGGGCAGCAGCUGGAGGAGUCAAUACCAGGGAUGAGACGAUCUUUAUCAGCCCUUCUGGAGCUGUGGCUGUGGACAGGCUAAGCUGGCUACAGGAUGCAAGGAAGUCUGUUGCAUUUCUUCCAUACACAGAUAAAAAUGCUCCAGAUUAUUUAUAGGUUCUAGUGCAUCAAAGUCCUCCUGGCUCAAUCCUUGACCACGCUGGAGCUGCCGGGCAGGAGGCAACUGGGAACCCCUACCUGAGAGGGAAUUGCUGGGGGCAGAGGCAACGAAGCACAGGGGGCUGGCACCCCAGGUGGUGACAAGGGCAGGGGUCAGGGGUUGUGACGGGAAGUCUGGGUGAGGCCAGGGACCAGAGAAAACUGGCAGGGGCUAUUGGCAAGGGCG
rnacentral:lncRNA from 1 species